UUUAAAAAGCUCGAGUCUUCUGCGGCUGAAAAUUCAGCCUCUCUAAACGUUAAUAAAUUGCUUCUGCGGCUGAAAAUUAACGCAUGCGCAAAUUUCAUACAUUCUUCUGUUUGUUUUGAUUUCAAGUUUUGGUUUUUGUAAAGCGACAUUUAAACUUAAUGUGAAUUGACGAGUGACAAAGCUAAAAAUAAUAGUAAUAUGUUACAAGUUAUGUCUACAAAAAUAUUGUAAGAAUUUGAAUUUAAGAAUUUAUUAAAUAUAAUUUAGCUAACAAUAUACUGAAGCAUUAUUUUAUGUUAGCAGUAGUAUCAUUGUAGUAUCAUGAUGUCAACAUCUUGAUAUCAAGUUAAUUAUUAACUGUUAAUAACUUUACUAAACUUCAGUACUUAAUUAAUUGCUUCAGUACUUAAUGAAUUAAAAAAAGUAUUUUUUUUUGUCUAAACACUUAUAAAAAUUUAAAAACAUUGUUAAUUUUGAAACAUUGAUAAUUUUGUAUUUAAACAAAUAUUGAGGAUAUUAUUUUAGAAAUAGUUCAUUUAAAACAUUCCAAGAUAUUUUUGAAAGUAUUUAAGUAUUGGUGCUGUGUAAAACAUUUAAUGAAAAAUCUAUUUUCACUUUUGAAAGUUUUUUAAGCACUAGUUCCUCAAUACAUAUUGCAUGUGUAAUUUUUUGUCUUUGUGAUGUAAAAUGUGUUGUGUCCAGUUGCACAAUUUCUUGUUUUUAGAUAAGAAUGCCAACUUGUGCUAACAAAUUCUAGGAGUGAAAUUAUAAAAACCAUAAUUUUGGUUUGUAUAACAUAGUUCAUCACUAGUCAACAUGCACUACUAAUCAUAGUUUUUAACCAUAGUUGAUCACUAGUCAGCUAUUUAAAAAUUUUAACAAAACUAAUAUUUUUUACAAUUUCUAAUCAAUUCUAAAGCAUAAAAAUGCUUAAUUAUAAUCACUCAUAAAUAUAUAAGGAUGGAAAAGUUUCUAUUUGUGUAAACUAAAUAAUUUUUUUUUUAUUAAACUAACACAACAUAAAUCUUGUCUUGUCUACAGACCAUUAUAUACAGAUAUUUUUAAGAAUAAAAUCUUUAUGAUAGAUUCUGUAAAAGAUAUAGAAUAAUUAUUUAUAUAAUUUUUAUUUAUAUAAAUAGUAAAUCCAAUAAAUGAAGAAGUAAAGAAACCUGAUUUAGGUACUGUAUUAACAUAUUUUUAACAUUAUUCAAUGACGUUUUUUAUAAAUAAUAUAUUUUUAUUAUUUUUAAGAAAUUAUGUUAUCUAUAUUACAAGAUUAUAUUACUAUAUUACAAGACCCUGACUUUGUAUAAACAGUAAACCAAACUGUUUACUACUUAUGGAAAUCAUUGUGAAUUGACCUGACUUAGCAAAAAGAUUCAACUUAUGUUUAAGAAAAUCAACUCAAGACAAUCAUAAACAAAGAUAAUUCGAAAACGACCAAAGUACAGGAAUAAAUAAUGAAAGUCGAUAAAAUGAAGAAUGACAAAUUCAAGUCAUAAACAUUAUAAAAAAGAUAAACAUUUCUUUAACAAAAAUUGUUGUUUAAUAUUUUUGAAGCACUAAAUGAAAUA